CGAACUUUCUGGAUUCUUCACUCGUCUCGUCGUCAGACGGUCACGCACAUCGCAUUAUAAGGUAUGUGAGAUUCUUGCUGGUGCAGAUGGACAAGGAAUGGUGGCUUGACACCCUGGCUGACAUCUUUAAAGAUUUCACAGACUUUAGGAAGCUAUAUCCAGAGGCAGACAGAAAACUUUUUGAAGACUGGGCUACAAUUGCAGACCGAAUUCUUGCCUAUGCCCAGCGAGAUGGAAAGGUGCAUUUAGAGCUGGGUGACAUGACUCAAGAUGCUAAAGGGGAGAGUGCUUUCAAAGUCCUGCCCACUCUGCUU